rnacentral:rRNA from 1 species
UACGUAGGGUGCGAGCGUUGUCCGGAAUUAUUGGGCGUAAAGAGCUCGUAGGCGGUUUGUCGCGUCUGCUGUGAAAACUCGGGGCUUAACUCCGGGCCUGCAGUGGGUACGGGCAGACUAGAGUGCGGUAGGGGAGACUGGAAUUCCUGGUGUAGCGGUGAAAUGCGCAGAUAUCAGGAGGAACACCGGUGGCGAAGGCGGGUCUCUAGGCCGACACUGACGCUGAGGAGCGAAAGCGUGGGGAGCGAACAGG